AAGAGGAGUGGCGAACGGGUGAGUAACACGUGGGUAACCUGCCCAUCAGAAGGGGAUAACACUUGGAAACAGGUGCUAAUACCGUAUAACAAUCAAAACCGCAUGGUUUUGAUUUGAAAGGCGCUUUCGGGUGUCGCUGAUGGAUGGACCCGCGGUGCAUUAGCUAGUUGGUGAGGUAACGGCUCACCAAGGCCACGAUGCAUAGCCGACCUGAGAGGGUGAUCGGCCACAUUGGGACUGAGACACGGCCCAAACUCCUACGGGAGGCAGCAGUAGGGAAUCUUCGGCAAUGGACGAAAGUCUGACCGAGCAACGCCGCGUGAGUGAAGAAGGUUUUCGGAUCGUAAAACUCUGUUGUUAGAGAAGAACAAGGAUGAGAGUAACUGUUCAUCCCUUGACGGUAUCUAACCAGAAAGCCACGGCUAACUACGUGCCAGCAGCCGCGGUAAUACGUAGGUGGCAAGCGUUGUCCGGAUUUAUUGGGCGUAAAGCGAGCGCAGGCGGUUUCUUAAGUCUGAUGUGAAAGCCCCCGGCUCAACCGGGGAGGGUCAUUGGAAACUGGGAGACUUGAGUGCAGAAGAGGAGAGUGGAAUUCCAUGUGUAGCGGUGAAAUGCGUAGAUAUAUGGAGGAACACCAGUGGCGAAGGCGGCUCUCUGGUCUGUAACUGACGCUGAGGCUCGAAAGCGUGGGGAGCAAACAGGAUUAGAUACCCUGGUAGUCCACGCCGUAAACGAUGAGUGCUAAGUGUUGGAGGGUUUCCGCCCUUCAGUGCUGCAGCUAACGCAUUAAGCACUCCGCCUGGGGAGUACGACCGCAAGGUUGAAACUCAAAGGAAUUGACGGGGGCCCGCACAAGCGGUGGAGCAUGUGGUUUAAUUCGAAGCAACGCGAAGAACCUUACCAGGUCUUGACAUCCUUUGACCACUCUAGAGAUAGAGCUUCCCCUU
rnacentral:rRNA from 1 species